GACGAACGCUGGCGGCGUGCCUAAUACAUGCAAGUUGAGCGCUGAAGGUUGGUACUUGUACCAACUGGAUGAGCAGCGAACGGGUGAGUAACGCGUGGGGAAUCUGCCUUUGAGCGGGGGACAACAUUUGGAAACGAAUGCUAAUACCGCAUAAAAACUUUAAACACAAGUUUUAAGUUUGAAAGAUGCAAUUGCAUCACUCAAAGAUGAUCCCGCGUUGUAUUAGCUAGUUGGUGAGGUAAAGGCUCACCAAGGCGAUGAUACAUAGCCGACCUGAGAGGGUGAUCGGCCACAUUGGGACGGAGACACGGCCCAAACUCCUACGGGAGGGAGCAGGAGGGAAUCUUCGGCAAUGGAAGAAAGUCUGACCGAGCAACGCCGCGUGAGUGAAGAAGGUUGUCGGAUCGUAAAACUCUGUUGGUAGAGAAGAACGUUGGUGAGAGUGGAAAGCUCAUCAAGUGACGGUAACUACCCAGAAAGGGACGGCUAACUACGUG
rnacentral:rRNA from 1 species